GUAUGCGAUGUAUUUUAUUGCCAACAGAUCUUGUGGAUCAACAAGCCCAACUCCUUUAUUUUACAUACAAGAGAACGGAAGUCUGUUCCAUUUAUUGAGUACACGGUUGCUGUGUGCCGGAAUAAUGUUGGACCAAUGCUGGGGCGUAGACCAGGCCCUGUCCUAGUUUACAGAAUCCUGAAGAAGAUGGACAAAUGAGAGGGCGGCUGCCAUACCAAGUGCUAAGUGUUCUGAUGAAACGAAGCAAGGGAAGCUAAGGAGGCGCGUCCUUCAGAAGUGGGGGUGGGGUCGCAGGCCCAGCACACUUCCAGGAGGAGAUUUAGGGGAGCAGAGCUGGAGAGAUGGCACGAGAGAUGGCACGAGAGAUCGCCUUUCCCUUGCAGCCAGGCUGGGGUAGCUCCACGUGCACAGGCAGUUAGAGAGAAGAGGAGAGAAACAGAGAGAGGGAGAAACAUACGUGAGUUCACUCCCCAAAUGGCUGCAACAGCUGGGGUGGGGCUGGGCCAGGCUGAAACCAGGAUCAAGGAGCUUCUUCCAGGUCUCCGAGAGCAUUGGCUGCAGUGUGGAGAAUGGAUUGCAGAGGAAACAACCAUGGAAACAGAGACCAGUUGGGAGGUCUUGAACCUGGCCUCUGGACUGGAAGUGCACCAUUCUCAGGCCCUGGACUUGAACUGGAGCUAUACCACCCACUCUCCUGGGUCACCAGCUUGCCAAUUCACCCUGAAGAUCUUGGGAAACUUGGGCCUUGCUAUCCUCCAUUAUCAAAGAGCUAAUUCCUUAGAAUCAACCAAUCUAGUAUCACCUAUUGAUUCCGCUUCUCUGGAGAACCUUGACUAAUAUAUAUUUAUAUACAUGUGCUUCUGAAAAUAAAAAGGAAUUUUUUCCCAAUUAUUCCCCGGAAUAUAAUUGUUAUACUGUGGAAAUUAACAUGGUUAUAGUAUUAUUAUUUAAUCUACAGACCUUACUCAGAAUUUUCCAACUGUUCCAUUCAUGUCUCAUACAUGAAGUGAAAACAAAUUAAGCUACCUCUUGUAUAAUCAAACAAAACAAACACCACUAAACACUAAUCUGUAACAUCAGGUUGGGAUGCUUGACAAAGUACUUAGUGUUUCUCCUUAUGAUGAUUACCUCAAUAUUUUUUCAUUAAAAAAUUAGUUUAUGGGGCUGGUGUCAUGGUAUAGUGGGUAAACUGUCGUUUGUGAUGCCAGCAUCCCAUAUGGGCACCGCUUAGAGACCAGGCUGCUCCACUUCUGAUCCAGCUCCCUGCUAAUGUACCUGGGAAAGCAGUGGAGGAUGGUCCAAGGGCUUGGGCCCCUGUACCUGCGUGGGGAACCUGGAUGAAGCUCCUGGCUUCUGCCUGGCUCAGCCUUAGCCAUUUUGUGGCCAUCUGGGGAGUGAACCAGUGGAUGGAAGAUCUCUCACUCUGUCUCUCUCUCUCUUGCUGUAACUCUGACUUUCAAAUAAAUAAAUAAAUAUUUUAAACUUUGUUCUUGUUGAGGUCUAAUUUACCCAUAAGUAAUUUACAAAUCUUAUAGGUACAGCUUCAUCUUGCGUAAGUACACCUAUAUGUAUCAUGAGUCAUCCACAUCCGUGGCAGUAAUUUGUUCAUUGAAUUGGCGUUGUGAAGGACAGUGCACAGAUCCUACUGCAUUCUUGUGUACACAUUUUGUUGGAGAUGAACGUUCAUUUCUGUUUGCUUAUAUCCAGAAGUGGAAUUACUGGGCUGUAGGAUAAACCCAAUGUUUAUUUUUACAAUGACAAAUUCAUCCAAAGAAGCUUUGGGAUACCCCUGCUUUGUUGGUGGCAGGUACCAUUCAUAAUGUCUGACAUUUAUCAACUCUUUUAAUUCUUAUAAUAGCCCCAUAAAGUAGUUACGGUUAUCACCCUUGCUUCACAUGAGGAAGCAGAGACUCUUAGAGGUUAGCUAACUUGCCCCUGGUCUCAGAUCUGGAAAACAACCCAGAGAGUCAGGCUUCAGGCCUUAAUCAGGGCUCUUGACUUCUCCAGAGAAACAGAACCACAGGACAGACAGGGAGCUAGAGAGGUGCAAAGACAGGAGAUCUGUUAGGAGGACUCGGCUCAUAAGCUUGUGGAGGCUGGGCAGCCCCAUGAUCUGCGGGCUGGAGAACCAGGAAUGCCAGUGGUGUUUUACAGUCUAAACCCAAAGGCCUGAGACCCAGGGAAGCCAAGAGUGUAACUGUGGAUCGGAGCCUGCAGGCCUAAGAACCGAGCUGAUGCCGAGAGGCCCGACCCAAGUCUGAAGGCCCAAGACCCAGGAGUGCGAUGUCCAUGGGCACGAGAAUGAGUCUGUCCUGCCCUUGUCUUUUUGGUCUUUGCUAAGGCCCAUAAUGGACUGGAUGGUGCCCACCAGCAUUGGUGGUGGUGGUGGGUCCUCUUUUCUCAGCCAAUUCAGAUGCUAAUUUGGAAAUACCCUGGCAGGUACACCGGGAAAUAAUGUUUUAUUGCCUAUUUGGCUCAGUCAAGUUGACACAUAACAUUAACCAUCACAGUCUCCUAAUCUGGCUUUGGGAUCUCGAAGGUUCCUGCCUAUUUACUGGGUUCUUUACAUUUAUUUGAACAAGUCUGUUGCGUCAUGGUAUAUUAUUUUUAUUUAAUUGAUGAGCUUCUAUUGUAUGUUCCAUCGUUCUAUCUGCCACAGUGUACUAUUUAUGGUGGGCACUUGCGGAACAGUAGUUGACUAAAGAGAAAUAUUUUAGGAAAGAAAAUGCUGAUUUCCUAAGAGUAUAGUCUUCAUACCAGAUACAUUUAGUUAACCUGUUAAGAGCCAGACCGAAGGAAUCAAGAGCUACUGCUUAAAGAAUUCAAGGAAGAGAUGGUCUCUGCCUUGAAAUAGUUAUGGAAAGGAGUGAGAGCAACAUCAGAGCAGAAUGGAAAUGCUGUCGGCAGAUGUGCACAGAGAUGGGCCGCAUCACGGCUGUGUGCAAAGAGUGAGGCAUCCUGAAGCGAGGGGUGUCUGGGAUGAAACUGGACCAGUGAAGAUUUUGCUGGGUCGGGAGAAGGAUGACGCAGUAGAGGCAGCCACGUGUGUAGUGGCAGGGGGCUGUGCAGAGGUCUUACUCCUCCUGUGAACGGUGUGCAUCUCAGCCUGGAGGGGGUGGGGUGGCGAGGGGAAAUGAGAAGUGGGAUGGUGUGGGAAUUGUAGUCAGGAGCUGCAGUGCAAAACAAAUGUUUAACCAAAUUGCCUGGGAAGAAACUCAGUUGCCUAUGGUGAAAAAUCCCAGAGGCAGUAAAGGAAAUAAGAUCCAGCCUGUUUGUCUGCGAUGGCGUAUGCUUUUACAAAUGGCCUGCUCUAUUUCAUUUUAUAAUAGUCUGGAAAGAGUGCUGGGAAAGGAGCUCUGGGGAGCAGUAUAUACUAAUUGAGUCUGUAUAAUCUGUAGGGUAUUUGCCCAUUUAGACCUAUCUAAUGAAGUUUGGUUUGGAGUCUAAAGUAUUAAAUCUAAUUCUCUCUCUCUCUCUCUCUCUCUCUCUCGAAGAAAGCAAGUCUGGAUAAGUGACUUCAUUAAGCCUAAAAUAGAAUUAGUGAAGAGUAUAUUCUUUGAGUCAAGCAGACUUUGUUACUAAUCAUGUCUUUUUUAAAAAAUUUUAUUUACGUAUUUAAAAGGCAGAAUUAGAGAGAGGGAGAGAGAAGGAGAGAUAGAGAGGUCUUCCAAUUGCUGGUUCACUCCCCAAAUGGCUGCAAUGGUCGGCCAGGGCUUGGCCAGGUCAAAAUCUGGAGCCAGGAACUCCAUCCAGGUCUCUCACAUGGGUGACAGGAGCCCAAACACUCGGACCAUCUGCUGCUUUCCCAGGCACAUUAGCAAGGAGCUGGAUGAGAAGCAGAGCAGCUGAGACAUGAACUGGCGCCCAUAUAGGAUGCGGGCAUGGUGGGCAGUGGCUUCACAUAGAGUGCCACAGCCACGUCUUAAUCAGCUGCUGUGUGACCUUUGGCAAAUGCCUUAAUCCUACUGAGCCUCAGUUCCUUUUCUGUGAAACAGUUAUAUCUGCUUUGUAACACAGGCCUUGUUACUUAGUAAGCUGCAGCAAAUCUCCUUUCCCUUCACUCUUCCUCACAGCACAGAGCACCAAAAUAGACAAACAAAACAGAGCUCAAAUAGAAAGGGAGGGGGCCACUGUUGUGGCACAGCAACUUAAGCUUCUGACUGCAACAUGGGCAUCCCAUAUGGGUGCUGCUUCCAGUCCUGGUGCCUCCACUUCUGAUCCAGCUCUCUGCUAAUGGCCUAGGAAAGCAGCAGAUGGGCCGAGGGCUUGGAUCCCUGCACCCACAAGGGAGACUCGGAGGAAGCUCCUGGCUCCCCUGCACCCACAAGGGAGACUUGGAGGAAGCUCCUGGCUCCUGGCUUCAGUCUGGCCCAGCCCCAGCUGCUGUGGCUGUUCUGGGAGUGAACCAGCAGAUGGAAGAUCUCUUUAUCUCUCUCCCUCUGUCUCUGUAAC